GAUGAACGCUGGCGGCGUGCUUAACACAUGCAAGUCGAACGAUGAAGCCCAGCUUGCUGGGUGGAUUAGUGGCGAACGGGUGAGUAACACGUGAGUAACCUGCCCUUAACUCUGGGAUAAGCCUGGGAAACUGGGUCUAAUACCGGAUAGGAGCGUCCACCGCAUGGUGGGUGUUGGAAAGAUUUAUCGGUUUUGGAUGGACUCGCGGCCUAUCAGCUUGUUGGUGAGGUAAUGGCUCACCAAAGCGACGACGGGUAGCCGGCCUGAGAGGGUGACCGGCCACACUGGGACUGAGACACGGCCCAGACUCCUACGGGAGGCAGCAGUGGGGAAUAUUGCACAAUGGGCGCAAGCCUGAUGCAGCGACGCCGCGUGAGGGAUGACGGCCUUCGGGUUGUAAACCUCUUUCAGUAGGGAAGAAGCGAAAGUGACGGUACCUGCAGAAGAAGCACCGGCUAACUACGUG
rnacentral:rRNA from 1 species